GGGAGGGGAGGGGUGGGGGCCAAGAAAAAGAAAAAUAAAGAAACCGGAUCAAAAUAGCAAAAAUCAUUAAUUAUUCAAUAGUAUUCUCACAGAAAGACUAGGAAACCAUAAACCAAUACACAACAAUGUUCUCCGGAUACUAAUGACAAUUCAAAAAAAUUGAGAUACUCAGUAACCGGACAUCUGGCCUGGGUACUGGGUAGUGAAAAAAAGUAAGGUUAUUGCGCUUUAAAAUUCAACAUACUCAGUUAAUAUUAAUGAGAAAAGUUAACUUACCCACCCAGUCAAAAAACAAAAGUUAAGUGUAUCGGGUAGCAGCAGGAGUUAACACAUUAAUCAGACUGGAUCAAAUUCAAAAUAUCACAUUAUACCCAAACAAUAAACUGCAACAAAGAUUCGAGAUAUGGGUCGGCUUACCGGGAAAAUUAGAUAACCGCGAUCUAAAUCCAAAAAACCUUAAUGGUUAGUUUAUGUCAAUAGCUGUGAAUAAAGAGACAAAGUAAAGCAGCGUCGGUACGAGAUAACGAUGGGAGACGAAUUCAUGAAACUGAUGACAGUUUGGGAAAGAUAGGCAGGGGAUGAUCAAAUCCGAUUCAAUUCGGCGUAGACCAAAGAGGAACAGAACAAUCCCUUUUUCUAUCUCCUCUCUCUCUCUCUCUGCUUCACACGCAGGUCCUUUGCACGUGAGAAGUGAGCUGCACCCACCCACGACAAUUACCCAGUAAAAACUUAAAAACCAAAUAUGAAUCAUAG
rnacentral:lncRNA from 1 species